UACGGAGGGUGCAAACGUUGCUCGGAAUCAUUGGGCGUAAAGCGCACGUAGGCGGCGCGUUAAGUCGGGUGUGAAAUCCCUCGGCUCAACUGAGGAACUGCCUUUGAAACUGUCUGGCUUGAGGCCGGGAGAGGGUAGCGGAAUUCCCAGUGUAGCGGUGAAAUGCGUAGAUAUUGGGAGGAACACCAGUGGCGAAGGCGGCUACCUGGACCGGUUCUGACGCUGAGGCGCGAAAGCGUGGGUAGCAAACAGG
rnacentral:rRNA from 1 species